AUUGAACGCUGGCGGCAUGCCUUACACAUGCAAGUCGAACGGCAGCACGGGGGCAACCCUGGUGGCGAGUGGCGAACGGGUGAGUAACAUAUCGGAACAUACCCUAGAGUGGGGGAUAACGUAGCGAAAGUUACGCUAAUACCGCAUACGAUCUAAGGAUGAAAGUGGGGGAUCUUCGGACCUCAUGCUCAUGGAGUGGCCGAUAUCUGAUUAGCUAGUUGGUGAGGUAAAGGCUCACCAAGGCGACGAUCAGUAGCUGGUUUGAGAGAACGACCAGCCACACUGGAACUGAGACACGGUCCAGACUCCUACGGGAGGCAGCAGUGGGGAAUUUUGGACAAUGGGGGCAACCCUGAUCCAGCAAUGCCGCGUGAGUGAAGAAGGCCUCGGGUUGUAAA
rnacentral:rRNA from 1 species